rnacentral:rRNA from 1 species
UACGGAGGGUGCAAGCGUUAUCCGGAUUUACUGGGUUUAAAGGGUGCGUAGGUGGGCGAGAAAGUCAGUGGUGAAAUCUCCGGGCUUAACCCGGAAACUGCCAUUGAUACUAUUUGUCUUGAAUACUUUGGAGGUAAGCGGAAUAUGUCAUGUAGCGGUGAAAUGCUUAGAUAUGACAUAGAACACCAAUUGCGCAGGCAGCUUACUACAC